UACGUAGGGGGCAAGCGUUGUCCGGAUUUAUUGGGCGUAAAGCGCUCGCAGGUGGUUCGUUGCGUCGUGCGUGAAAGACCCCGGCUCAACUGGGGGAUGUCGUGCGAUACGGGCGGACUGGAGGCCAGUAGGGGGAUGCGGAAUUCCGGGUGUAGUGGUGGAAUGCGUAGAGAUCCGGAGGAACACCAGCGGCGAAGGCGGCAUCCUGGACUGGUCCUGACACUCAGGAGCGAAGGCGUGGGGAGCGAUCCGG
rnacentral:rRNA from 1 species